GACGAACGCUGGCGGCGUGCUUAACACAUGCAAGUCGAACGGAAAGGCCCUGCUUUUGUGGGGUGCUCGAGUGGCGAACGGGUGAGUAACACGUGAGUAACCUGCCCUUGACUUUGGGAUAACUUCAGGAAACUGGGGCUAAUACCGGAUAGGAGCUCCUGCUGCAUGGUGGGGGUUGGAAAGUUUCGGCGGUUGGGGAUGGACUCGCGGCUUAGCAGCUUGUUGGUGGGGUAGUGGCUUACCAAGCUUUGGCGGGUAGCCGGCCUGGGAGGGUGGACGGGCACAAUGGGACUGAGGUACGGCCCAGACGCCUACGGGGGGCAACAGGGGGGAAUAUUGCACAAUGGGCGGGAGCCUGAGGCGGCGACGCCGGGUGCGGGAUGACGGCCUUCGGGUUGUAAACCGCUUUCGGCUGUGACGAAGCGGGAGUGACGGUAAUGGGUAAAGAAGCACCGGCUAACUACGUG
rnacentral:rRNA from 1 species